GAUGAACGCUGGCGGCGUGCCUAAUACAUGCAAGUCGAGCGAACGGACGAUAAGCUUGCUUCUCUCAUGUUAGCGGCGGACGGGUGAGUAACACGUGGAUAACCUACCUAUAAGACUGGGAUAACUUCGGGAAACCGGAUCUAAUACCGUAUAAUAUUUUGAACCGCAGGGUGCAAAAGUGAAAGACGGUCUUGCUGGCACUUAUAGAGGGAUCCGCGCUGGUUGAGCUAGUUGUUAAGGUAACGGCUUACCAAGGCAACGAUGCAUAGCCGACCUGAGAGGGUGAUCGGCCACACUGGAACUGAGACACGGUCCAGACUCCUACGGGAGGCAGCAGUAGGGAAUCUUCCGCAAUGGGCGAAAGCCUGACGGAGCAACGCCGCGUGAGUGAUGAAGGUCUUCGGAUCGUAAAACUCUGUUAUUAGGGAAGAACAUAUGUGUAAGUAACUGUGCACAUCUUGACGGUACCUAAUCAGAAAGCCACGGCUAACUACGUG
rnacentral:rRNA from 1 species